rnacentral:rRNA from 1 species
GAACGCUGGCGGUAUGCUUAACACAUGCAAGUCGAACGGUAACGGGCCGCUGUGAUCCCUUCGGGGUGAACUUGGCGCCGACGAGUGGCGGACGGGUGAGUAAUACUUAGGAAUCUGCCCAGUAGUGGGGGACAACACGGGGAAACUCGUGCUAAUACCGCAUACGCCCUAUGGGGGAAAGUGGAGGAUCUUCGGACUUCACGCUAUUGGAUGAGCCUAAGUCGGAUUAGCUUGUUGGUAGGGUAAUGGCCUACCAAGGCAACGAUCCGUAGCUGGUCUGAGAGGACGAUCAGCCACACUGGGACUGAGACACGGCCCAGACUCCUACGGGAGGCAGCAGUGGGGAAUAUUGGACAAUGGGCGCAAGCCUGAUCCAGCAAUGCCGCGUGUGUGAAGAAGGCCUGCGGGUUGUAAAGCUCUGUUAUCAGGGAAGAACGUUCUCUAUGUGAAUAAUGUAGGGAAGUGACGGUACCUGAGGAGGAAGCCACGGCUAACUACGUG